ensembl:snRNA U6 U6 spliceosomal RNA
GCCUCACUCCUGUGGCACAUAUAACAACACUAAAAUAUUACAAAGAAGAUUAGUAUAGCCCCUGUGCAAAGAUGACUUACAAAUGUGUAAAGUUGCCAUAUUUUU